UACGUAGGGUGCAAGCGUUAAUUGGAAUUAUUGGGCGUAAAGCGCACGUAGGCGGUCCGUUAAGUCGGAUGUGAAAGCCCUAGGCUCAACCUAGGAAGUGCAUUCGAAACUGGCGAGCUUGAAUAUGGAAGAGGGUCGCGGAAUUCCCGGUGUAGAGGUGAAAUUCGUAGAUAUCGGGAGGAACACCAGUGGCGAAGGCGGCGACCUGGGCCAAUAUUGACGCUGAGGUGCGAAAGCGUGGGGAGCAAACAGG
rnacentral:rRNA from 1 species